UUUUCCCUUUUCUUGUUUUGUCUGAAAGGUCUAGAGACAAACACUUCCCUCUCUGGUGAAUCUCUCAUCAACUUCUUCAAGUAUUACUUGAAGAGGAAGGUAAGAGUAGAGAGGGAAGUUCUGUCUACUGAAUGCUUCAAGAAAAGACAGGUGAAUGUAGCAAGGAUGGCACGUGUGAAUGACGGAACCACCUUGAGCAUAACCCUAUGAACCAGAAAAAAAGUCAUUUGAAUGCGGCCAUGCUUGGAGCACCGCCUUUAGUCGAACAAAUCGACCCCAGCAUUUAUUCUUUAUUUUCGCGAAAAAUAAAAAAGAAAAUACGUGAGUGAAGAGGACCUGCUGAGGAGAAGAAAGAGAAAAGAAGGAAGAGAACGACUACAGCAGGACUGGCCAGAUUGAUGCGGCUAAUGUUCAGUACGAAGUUUUGUAAGGUCAUUGCUUGUAAGAAAAACCGAAUUAAAGAUUCCAGAGGAUUUUAGUUCUGAAAACAAAGCACCAGGCGUGGAGUCUGAAAGAUGAGCCACUUGAAAAUUAUUUGUCAGUGUUCUAUUACUAGAAAGUGAACUCAUCUUCAUUUUUUCAUUUUAUCGAUUCUGAUAUAUAAAAUGUUUUCAUGAAUUAUA